rnacentral:tRNA from 1 species
GACGCCGUGGCCGAACGGCUCAGGCACCGGAUUGCAGAUCCGGAUCAUGUGGGUUCGAAUCCCACCGGCGUCUCC